rnacentral:rRNA from 1 species
UACGAAGGGGGCUAGCGUUGCUCGGAAUCACUGGGCGUAAAGCGCACGUAGGCGGAUCUUUAAGUCAGGGGUGAAAUCCUGGAGCUCAACUCCAGAACUGCCUUUGAUACUGGGGAUCUCGAGUCCGGGAGAGGUGAGUGGAACUGCGAGUGUAGAGGUGAAAUUCGUAGAUAUUCGCAAGAACACCCGUGGCGAAGGCGGCUCUCUGGGACGGUACUGACGCUGAGACGCGAAAGCGUGGGGAGCGAACAGG